rnacentral:rRNA from 1 species
GAUGAACGCUGGCGGCGUGCCUAAUACAUGCAAGUCGAGCGAACAGAUGAGGAGCUUGCUCCUCUGACGUUAGCGGCGGACGGGUGAGUAACACGUGGAUAACCUACCUAUAAGACUGGGAUAACUUUGGGAAACCGGAGCUAAUACCGGAUAAUAUAUUGAACCGCAUGGUUCAAUAGUGAAAGACGGUUUUGCUGUCACUUAUAGAUGGAUCCGCGCCGCAUUAGCUAGUUGGUAAGGUAACGGCUUACCAAGGCAACGAUGCGUAGCCGACCGGGGAGGGUAGGCGGCCAAAGGGGAACUGAGACACGGCCAGAACUCCUGGGGGGGGACGCAGUAGGGAAUCUUCCGCAAGGGCGCAAAGCCGGAGGGAGCAACGCGGGGGGAGGAAUGAAGGUCUCGGGAUCAUAAAAUUUUUUUAUGAGGAAAAAAAAAAUGUGUAAGUAACUAUGCACGUCGUGACGGUACUUAAUCAGAAAGCCACGGCAACCUACGUG